CAUCGUCUUCUUCCCCAUGUGCACCUCCAUGUCCCCGAAUCCACUCCUUUCUUAUCCAAAUCCUACGCGAUAUGCUUCCACAAUGCUCAGCUGCUGCUCAUAUAACUCGCGGCCACGCCCCGCCGGCACUCUCCACCAGCGUCUCUCUCCGCCGUUGCUUCAAGGCUGAUGGCGGAGCGACAACCAGGUACCGCCGAUGCUAUGUAGGCAUAACUAAGCUUGUGUGACGAGUCAUACGGCUGAUAGUGAGCAAAACAUUUCUUACCGGUUUCGAAUUAACAUCCAUUUGCAAGUCCAGUCCUCCGAUAAGAAAGCGGUGACCAUAUAUCAAGGAACUGGAACUCAAGAUGCAACAUAAUGUAUGUUGCCUUUUAAGCCCUCCAUUUUAAGAACUCAGAGCAUAGUUACAACACGUAUGAUGCAACAUAAACUAUGUUGCAACUUGAGUUCCAGUUCUUGAUGUGGUCACCUCCCUUUCUCUCGGAGAACUUAAUUUGCAAGUGGAUGUUGAGUUGAAAAGCUACACUAGUUAUAGACGUAAAGAAUGAAUACUAGAGUGAACAAAAUACGUAUAAAAAGGCUAGUUGAAAUGAUUUUGCAAAGACAAAUCUAACAGAUGAUAAACAAUCAGUUUUUCAUUAAAAUAAAUGUUAUCAAUAAAAUAUUAAAUUACCAGCACGAUCAGUCGAUUUGAGAGGAUGAGAAACUUGUUAUUGUCUAAGCUUCAACAACUGUAUCAUUCAGUUCACUACGUGAAAUGGCACAGGUGAUCACCACAAAGUGUGAGAGCAAAGCAACAAACAAACUAUAUAAUUCAAGAGCUAGCAUCAUUUAAUAAUACAACUUCUGAGGAAUGGAAAAUAGCUCGUUGUAACAAAUGUUUUGCCCAAUUAUUGGCUGGAUGACUUGUCACACGAGCGCAGCUAUGCUUGACGUCAUUCCAGGCCACAGCACAACUGACACCGCCUUCGUCUUGUCCUGACGACCAAAAGAAGGCGCUCUUGAAAUUCCUUUGCUUGAGCCUCUUCGCCAUCCAUAUAGGCAUAUACAACCAAUCCUGCACCUGCAGUUGCCAAGAAUAAGACAUAUCCUAGACAAAUGAUACAUACUAACAUAUAUGUUCAUUGUUUGACUGACAUCCCUGAGUUUCUCUACAACAGAUUCUCUCUCGUCAACAUGUCCGUGUUUUCUUCCAACUGUGAUGUAUCAAGGCAGCAAUUGAGCAGUCAAAAAAGAAAUAAGAUGCAGCACAUGAACAAUUAACUGUGCUAUUUUUACAUUAUCAGUAAUCUACAAUUACCAAAUUGUAUAGAUAUGCAGAUAUGUACAGUACAGUAUGCCACAGCAUUGACAGAUUUCGUCUAUUUUAUGGAGAAACAACAGUCAUCACGCAAUUUUUUUGGAUCCAAGCUAAGUGCAAUAUGACUCAGAUCUCACAUCACAACAAGCUAAAAAGAAUUUUUAUAUUCACUUUGCAAUGUGUAGACAAUAAAGACGUGACAAGAAGAAAAGAUACAUUUUCAUUCAUAGAGUAUAUAUAAAGUUAUUUUUCAGUUCA